rnacentral:rRNA from 1 species
UACGGAGGGUGCAAGCGUUAUCCGGAUUCACUGGGUUUAAAGGGAGCGCAGGCGGACAUGUAAGUCAGUGGUGAAAUACCUGAGCUUAACUCGGGAACUGCCAUUGAUACUAUGUGUCUUGAAUAUUGUUGAGGUUUGCGGAAUGGGUCAUGUAGCGGUGAAAUGCGUAGAUAUCGAGAGGAACACCUGCGGCGAAGGCGGGUUGCUGGGCCGACACUGACGCUGAUGCGCGAAAGCCAGGGGAGCGAACGGG